rnacentral:rRNA from 1 species
UACGGGGGGAGCAAGCGUUGUUCGGAUUUACUGGGCGUAAAGGGCGCGUAGGCGGUCAGCACAAGUCAAUUGUGAAAUCUCCGAGCUUAACUCGGAAAGGUCAACUGAUACUGUGCGACUAGAGUGCGGAAGGGGCAACUGGAAUUCUUGGUGUAGCGGUGAAAUGCGUAGAUAUCAAGAGGAACACCUGCGGCGAAGGCGGGUUGCUGGGCCGACACUGACGCUGAGGCGCGAAAGCUAGGGGAGCGAACGGG